GUUCGAAGUUGAAGAGUGGAGGCAAGGGCCGUCCAUUAGGGAGGUGGGCAUUUGGCUCACGAAGUUCAUUAAAAAAUGGGUGGAGAAGAGCCUCUAAAGCAGUAAAUCUUAAAUUUGGUGAGUACUGGAGAAGCCUAGAGACAAGAUCUACUGCUUCAGGUGGCAUGCGCUUGUGAAAUAUUUUGUGCCACGGGUGAGCCUUGAUUUGUGGGAAUUUAAACUCUGUAUAGUUCGGAUUCAUGCAUUUGAUUUCCUCACGAGUUGGGGUGCCAAGUACCUUGA
rnacentral:misc_RNA from 1 species